rnacentral:rRNA from 1 species
CCUACGGGAGGCAGCAGUGAGGAAUAUUGGUCAAUGGACGGAAGUCUGAACCAGCCAUGCCGCGUGCAGGAAGACGGCUCUAUGAGUUGUAAACUGCUUUUGUACAAGGGUAAACCUGAAUACGUGUAUUCAGCUGAAAGUACUGUACGAAUAAGGAUCGGCUAACUCCGUGCCAGCAGCCGCGGUAAUACGGAGGAUCCAAGCGUUAUCCGGAUUUAUUGGGUUUAAAGGGUGCGUAGGCGGAUUGAUAAGUUAGAGGUGAAAUGUCCGAGCUUAACUCGGGAACUGCCUCUAAUACUGUUGGUCUAGAGAGUAGAUGCGGUAGGCGGAAUGUAUGGUGUAGCGGUGAAAUGCUUAGAGAUCAUACAGCACACCGAUUGCGAAGGCAGCUUACCAAUCUAUAUCUGACGUUGAGGCACGAAAGCGUGGGGAGCAAACAGGAUUAGAUACCCGGGUAGUC